ACCAAAUGACUGCUCUGUGGGAGCCCCAGGCUAACCACAAUUUUCAUGAGCUAUCCUGACCACAAGAUGAUGCCCAUGCUAUCGUCUGGAGAUAGCUUGAUCAAAAACACUACUGCUGUGGAGAUGAUGAUUCUUAUCUCCUAUAAUACCUGUACCUUUCCUCUGUCCAACCAUUAAAGGGAGCAGUUGCUUAAAGAUGUAUUAUGUGCAGGUCCAGAUGUUACAGAAUACACAGAUGAGUUAGAGGCAGGAUUCAAUACUCAGGAACUCUUGGUGUUCUGGGGGACACUUCCCUGCCCUCUGCUUACUUGUGUGCACUGUGCAUUUUCGGCCCCCAACAUGAUACCCAUGUGGAAAAGGAUGACAUCGAGCAAAGAGCAUAGGUGGAAACUUGUUCUCCCCACAACACACCCUCAGCUGCUUUUGACUCCAAAGUUUAAAGAGAGAAGACUUGCUUCCAAUGGCUGGCGCCACUCAGCAUCCACAUCCUGGGUUCAUAGAGAGGUGCACAGGAAGGAGGAAAGCAGGUGGCUUUCUAGGGGAAUAAGAUGACACAGGCAUAGGAAAUUAAAUGGUAGUGAAUGAGUAAUGCUAAAGCCUAGAAGCAGCAGUGGUAGAGAAGCAGAGAGACGCCCAAGUGCUAAACCAGCAGCCCAGGAGAUGCACACCUUGCUGGACAAUUA
ensembl:lncRNA